UUUGAUCAGCAAGCUACAUGUACUUCCUGAUCAUAUUAUUCGUAUCACACUGUUAGGGUUUUACCCCUAACUGGGAAGAAACUACAACUAAGAAAUGAAAACAAAGAAAUGAAAUACUGAUUUUUCUUCGAUAAGGAGCAACAGCUCAACGAGCAGUACAUAUAGGCUAUAGAAAGGAGCACAUGCGCAGCACGUGAGUACAUGAAUCUUAAAAUCAUAACAAUCCAUCCCCAUUAAGCAAACUUGACCUCAAGUUUCAAAUAAGACACAUACAAGCAGUCACAAAUGAUAAGGUCCAUGUUCUUAAAAUCUUGCUCAAAUGCCUCUUCUUCCAUACCAAGUGAAAUAAAGAUCACUUCAGAGCUCUCUCCCUUUGCGUUUAGCUUCCCAUAAAAAUAUGAAUCUGUUGCACUUGGUGGCAAACUGAGACCUUGGGAAUCUUUGCACAAUGCAUCAGUGUUCUCAGUUUUCAAGUCCUUUGUAACAUCCCUAAUCACUUGCCCAGUACCUCUCAUCUCAGAAUAGGCUGAUUCCAAGAAUAGUUUACUGAACUAAUACCCAACCUCUGCUGAAAUUAUAAUUAGUUCAAAUUGCAACUCAAAGCAAUACUAAUCACUUCCUUGAUAUGUAGGAUUUUCUGCAGAUUCAGCUAUACAAGAGUCGGCAACAAUGGUAACAUAGGUAAUGAAUUUCACUGUAAGCAAGUUGAUAAUCUCAAACCUGAAUUUCAGAGUACCAUAAUCACCCUGCAUUAUUUCCUUGCAAGUCCCAUUUGCUUCCCAUGAAUGCAAUUUAUACAGAUUAAGGCAUCUCAGUAGUGAUCCAUGUUCUGUUACAAUGCCACCCCAUUUUUUAUCAUGCAAGAAACCAUGCUCACCACAGAUCCCAUCCAUCCGAGACUUAUACUUCCCAAUCACUAGAAGCACUUCAGGGUGACUCACCUCGUCAGCAAUCAUAUCCCAUCUUGCUGCCUUACUAAUCAAUUUUCCACAAACAUAUGAAGAGGCCGCAAUUGAAGUAGAAUUUAAAGAUUCAACAUAUUUAGCUAGUACAGAUAAAAUCACAGAAUACGAGUCAUGUUUAAUAUCUUUAGUCGAAUGCCAACCGACAAAAGCAUGGUCAUGCUCCAACACCCAUAAUCUCACUAUACCAUCAACAAGGGCAAGCAAUAGAACAUAUGAACUACCUGGUAUUACCUUUCCGAAGAAAGCAACAAGAAUGGUCUUUGAGUUCAUGAGUAUGGCGACUCCAACUCCUUGAUCACGUACAAUGGAGCUUAGCAAAAUUAGAGCCAUUUGAAUAGGCAAGUGUGUCCAGACUCCAAAUGAUUUUGCUGUACUUAGGGAAUUGAACAGUAGAUUGCAUAGUAGCUAGUAAGGAAAGGAACCACAAUUCAGCGUUGAAGUCCUCAAAGCACACUCCAAAUCCAUCUGGAGAGCUAGUAAAGCUACUACUAUCUGAAUUACUGAAGUGCUGAACAACUUCAAUAGCAGCCUUCGCCAACAAAUCAUCUGACAAACGUGAAGCAAGAGAUGCAGCGCAAGACUUAGUUUUCUUCCUCAUGAUGACUUGAUUAGAGCUCCACUGAGAUAAAAGAGCACCUAAUGAAAGCUUAUGGUAGGUUGCCAUAACAUUGCCAAACUUAUCAAGGACAUCAAAUAAGGACUCAAGACAUUCACAUAGUAUCUUUGUGCUCAUUCCCGAUGCAAUAACUCCUUUAUUGAACAGCAGUAAAAUAGACAUGACAUCAGAGAAGAAUAGAAGCCAUAAUAACUUAAGGCCUUCACAAAACUUGUCUGAGAUGCCUCCUUGUUUCAACUUGUCCUCAGUAGUAGGCCAACUCUGCAACUGUAGUGGUUUUAAAAGUGGUAACAACACCAACUUUAAAACUACAAAACAAUCCCUUUCCUGAAAACAAGAAGCACAUGAAUAAUUUUGAUCGACUAUCGUGGCUUCCUUAUCUUCCCUCCUUGAGAAAAUUCUUUCCCAUACUCCCAACACAACAAGUAAAGAUUCAACAUGCAACUCUUCAGUACCACUCUCAUUUUUUAUAGCAAUACUAUGAAUUUCCAUCUCUCCCAAUUGCCAUCAAACAUCUGUUUUACAAUUCUGUCCCUUUCUCCCACUUCUCAGCAAGACACAAGCUCAUUUCUCCAAAUUAAUCUCAAGACGUAAGCACAACAUAUUACCAUUCGAACAGGCAUUCAGAGUGCAAGCAAGUGUAGGAACUUUCCUUUUGCAAUGACAAAGCUGCAAGGAAAGAAUAAACCAUUGCACUAAUCUUGCCUGAGAUUGUGUUUUGGCAAUAACUCUUGAUUUCCACUUCUUUAAUAAUAACUCCAGUACCCUUUUAGAAUGUGCUUGUAUGUUCUCAUAGUUAUCAUCCACAAUAUCAGUUGGUUUAUUCAUCACAAGAACAAAUGCAGUCCUGAACUCAGAUUGGACAAGCUUUAGUGCACCAGAACUCACCCACACAUUGUUACAUAUAUCCUUGGUAAGCAAUGUGAUAGAUGAACCAUCAGAUUUAGUUGGAACAUGCAGAAUCAAGGUCUUGUUUCCAGCAAGAUUGGCACCAGCUUUACGAACAUAAAGAGAUACUGCUGAUAUAGCAUUUUCUCCGAGCUCUUGUUUGCACCAACCCCAUUCAUUUCUAAAUCUCUCAAGCUGUUGAACCAUAUAAUUGUCAACUAGGAUUUGUUCCACCGGAUCAUUCUCAAUCAAGGCAGGUCCAAUUAUGUCGUUCACAUUCCCUGCAACCGCAAGGACACCUUUCCCAAAAUAAUCCAAUUUGCAAUCUCCAAACUCCAUGAAUCCAUGGACACCUGUGAGAGCUUCACUUGGCGCAAGAGCUCUAGCCGUUUUAUCUUUCAAACCGAAGUUUCUAGAAACCACAGAAGGCUUGUAGUCCAAGUGAGCAGUAGUUUUCUUGUCUGGCAAUUGAAAAUACUCAUAGACAAUUGCACAAUGAGUUGCGAGACCCCCACCUUUGUCUCUAAUGCCCAUAUAGCCAACACUCAUCUUUCCUGCAUUACACAACUCCUUUGACUUGGACAUUUCAUCAAGCAGGUGGAGUGCAUCGCAUUCUCUCCCAUUUUCACCCAAAUUCGGUCCUGAACAAAAGGAUGCAUGAGUGUUGUUCGAUAUAGCCGAAACGACAUCGUCAAGGAGAGGAGGCGCAACUGAGCUCUGGACCCUCAAAUUUGUCUUGAAUGCGAGCUUGCGCAUCAAAAGCUUAUUACGUUGCAGAAACUUGCACUUCUUCACUCCUCCAGUGGCUGGAAUCGACUUGCUAGAGGCUUGUUUGGUACGAGACAUUGAGAUAUUGGCAACUGAAAGAGAUUGAGCGUCACCCAGAUGAGACGGCUUGGAGGUGGGUUGUGGCCGCAUUGGGGAGCAUAUCUUGGGCUCUGAGCUCUGGAUUUUGGGAGUGUGAGUCGGCGGAGGAACAUCAUCUAGCAACGAGGGCGAUGAACCUUCAGACGACUGUAUCCCCUUCAUACAUUUAGACAUGCAAGCAUCCCACAAUCUACUCACAGAUUCUAGGAACUCGCUCACCUUUGCAUCUGAGAAAUUGAACUCAGUGUUUAGAAUCAGUGAUUGGGACCUCUGAAUCAAUUUGCAGUGGAAUUGAACAAGGAUGAAGAUCAGGCUCAGCCUGCCUUGGGUAUGCAAUUGGAGGUGAUGGCUCAUGAGCGGUAUGUGGUGGAACAAACUGGUUUGUGGGAAUGAAAUGAUGCAGAGUAUGUGGGUAGCUUUGUUGGUAAGGAUGAUACGCAUACGCGGGGUAAGGGUUAGGCGGUGGUGAUAGGUGAUAGCUCGGUGGUGGUGGGUGAUAGCCCGGCGAGAAAAAUGGCAGAUCCCACUGUUGCGGAGGUGACGAGAACUGCACUGAGUGGUAUGGGUACUGGUUUGAGUACCACGACGGCGGUUCAACGCCGUAAGGCAGAGACGCCGGUUGCCCAGCUCCCAGAUUCAUGGCUCUGGAUACCAAUUGUUAGGGUUUUACCCCUAACUGGGAAGAAACUACAACUAAGAAAUGAAAUACUGAUUU
rnacentral:lncRNA from 1 species